GGCUAGGGCCAUAUCACCCUAAAUGUGCCCAGUGAUCUCAGAAGCCAAGCAGAGUUGAGCCUGGUUAGUAUUUGGAUGGGAGGAAAAGAAGCAGGGGUUUUUUCGG
ensembl:rRNA 5S_rRNA 5S ribosomal RNA